GACGAACGCUUGCGACGUGCCUAAGAAAUGCAAGUCGAACGGGGGGAGUAAUCCCCUAGUGGCGAACGGUCGCGUAACACGUGGGCAACCUGCCCUGAAGCGGGGGACAACAAUCCGAAAGGAUUGCUAAUACCGCAUGUGAAUCGCUGCGGCAUCGCAGAGGAUUCAAAGCCGCAAGGCACUUCAGGAUGGGCCCGCGGCCUAUCAGCUAGUUGGUGGGGUAACGGCCUACCAAGGCGACGACGGGUAGCUGGUCUGAGAGGACGAUCAGCCGGAU
rnacentral:rRNA from 1 species